AGCAAACCCACCCACCGGUUCAUUAGAUAUAUCCAAUGAACCCAUCUUCUUCUUUUUUCCUCUCAAGAUUCAUUCCCUCAAAAUCCUCUCUUUCACUCCUAAACUCCAAAUCCAGAAAUAGAUUCAUCUCAAAAUCCUCUCUUUCCCUAAGAUCUUUCUACUUCUAAUGUAUUUCAUAUCCUUAUAGAUUCAUCUCAAGGAUAGUUUCUAACCUUUCCCAAAUCCCCAAAUUCCAAAAUCAAUUUUAUGCUAGAAUCGGAGAAGCCGUCUAAACGAAUAUGUAAGUUUUGUUAUCUGAUUUGGUUUUUUUCCUUUAAUCGUUCCUUUUUCUUUAAUUUUAGGUCGUUUGUAACCCACACCGAGUUCUUGAAUUUUAGAUUAUUAAUGUGGAUCGUCUUCUACUGGAGUUUUGAGUGAUAUUGCUAUUGUUGAUAGUCGUUCGUCUUUGGAUUGGAGAGAGAAAUGUGUUGUUACUACAGUCAAAAAUCAAGGUAGUUGUGGUCUGCUCAGUUUAUUACAUUAUAUUUUAGUUGUAUCUUUAUGGUGAUUUCAUUUUUGUGGAGGAUAUAUAAAUUGUGCAUAGUAGAGCCAACAGUACAAAUUUUUAUAAAGUUUGGAUUUUGAUGAUAUUUAUCUUAAAUGACAAUGGAAACUUGUGAUGUUUUUUGCCUUUUUCUCUUGUCUAGGAAACUUGUAAUUUCUCUUACAAUGUUCAGUUGUCCCUGAUCUUUCUUCCUAUUUCAUCAGAGAUUCAUUAGCUUCCGUUUCUUCCUUCACUAACACACAACUGGUCAUUCUAUUAUUCUUUACAAUAUCGCCGUGAAAACACAGAACUGGUCACUGUAAAAAGGCAUUCAACAGAGCAGCCAACAAGAUAACUUUUCCACUUAGCUUUAACGUGUAGAAAUGGAAGUUUACUUCAAGAAUCCUAAAUUUUAUCCUAUAAGAUUAUUAAAGAAGUCUAAGAGCUCCUAUAAUUCACAACAUUCAAUUUGAACAAGAGUAAUGUGACAGCCUUACAUUUGAUAAACUUAAUUUACUAGCCAGAUUGUUGGUUUUACUACUAAGCUGCUUGACUAUCUUCAUAACAGAGCACAUCCGAGGAGUAAAACGUGAUUGAAUUGUCAUUCGUUUUAGCUAUUGAACCAUAAACUUCACCAGACUACUCCAGAAAUGAUGCCCGUGCACUGUUUCUCUCUUUCUUUCUUUCUAGUGAAGCAAUUUUAGAAAUUUAAGGCAUCCAAUAUUACCUUUUUUGGUUAUUCAGUAGGGUACACAUAUAAAUCAGAGUGACAGAUUGCAGAUAGAUGAAAGACCUUACACUUUCAUGGCAUUUAAUAUCUCUGUGAGAACUGAUUGUGUAUUCGAGGUGAUAGGUCCAUAUAACUUCUCAUCUGCCACAAGCUUUUCAUUUUUGAACUGAUCCAAAGGGGACGAAUGCCAUGAGUGAAGUACACUAGCAGUCUGGAUAGUUCACCUUGUUUGAGGGUGUACGCUAUAUGAUUUUAUUGAAUCUGUAGUUUUUGCCUCAACUGGUGUGGGUAAACAUACGGUUGAAACUUGUUUGAGAGUGACGAAGUCAUUCGUGUGGCACCCCCCUCAGAAGGAUCUUGUUUCCUCCCAAUCAAAAGUGGUGUUGACUUGGUGCUAUUAAUAUCCCUGAAGAAGGAAAAAGAGUUUUCACCAUGACUCUUAUUGAGAUUUUCCUAUAAAAACCCACAGAAGAAAUAUUAUUAAUCUCCAGAAAGUGACAUGUUGGCUUCAGCAACCUCAUACGAGUGGAGAAACCAUAAUAAAUCAAAGUGAGAAAGACAAAAUUCGUCAUUUGUUUUUUAUCAAGAUAUGAGAGCUAGCAACAAGAAUCAAAUAAUGUUUAUUGAGAGCUAGCAACAAGAAUCAAAUAUUCUACAUGGCGAAUGAGAGCUAGAUAAAUGUUUCAUGAGAUAUUACUGAUUUGGUCGCUAGUCUUUUUUCUUAUUAUUCGUUUAAAUAUGAACUUACUAACUUUAAUCUGGUAUACACCACUUUUUAUAUAAUCAGGAAAAAAAGAAAGAAACUUCUGAACCUCUAUCAAGCAAGGACAUCUUUGUGGCUACAAGGCCUCGUAUGCGGAUACUCUUAAUAAAAUUGUACGAGUUAUUAAUUUAAAGUUUGUUGUUAUCAUAGACGACAAAAGCUUAGGGGCUCUAUUUAUAAAAGAAUUACAUGUGGUUAUUCCAUGCUAAAGCAUGACCCAACAAUAUCCUUUAAAAGUAUUCGAUUGUAAAUAAUAUUUCUUAAAGUUUUUAGUUAGAUAUGAGGACACAAAUUAUAUUUUUUAUAUAAGUAAACUUCUUGCAGUAGAAGAGUAUUGGAUGUACAGAUACAACUGCAAAAGCUAAAGAAAAGAGGAAGUGAGAAGAAAGUGAGGAUGACUGCGGUCAUUAGUGACCACCCUUAAUUAGUUCCUGUGAAGAAGAUCAAUUUUCAGCUCAUGGCACACAAUCUCUAUGAGUCCUAAUACAUGCAGAUCUAGAGGGAGCUAGUUUCAGAGAGAAGUGAUGAAGCAAAAGUUGUGCACUGAGUUUUGGAAAUUUUCUGAAUGAAUAUUUCAACAGUUGUACAGGGCUUUAUACACGUGUUUCUCAACAUAAUUACUCGACCUUCUUAACACUCCUAAUUACAGUUAUAACUAACUAUCCAACUUCAGUUAACACUACUAACGAAAGUUACUCUGUUAGUGCUACUAACUAUAGUUACUACACCAUAGUUACUUAACCAAUCCCACUCUCAAUACUCCCCCUUAAGCUGGUUGGUACAAAAACAUUAAGCACUCCCAGCUUGGACAUCAGGUACUCAUGUUGUGGGUUUCUUAAAGCCUUUGUAAGAAUAUUUGCCAGCUGGUCCCUUGUAUUGACAUGAACAAUCUUUAUAAUUCCUUGUUGGAUCUUUUCUCGAAUAAAGUGGCAAUCUAUCUCGAUAUACUUUGUUCUUUUGUGAUACACUAGAUUUGCAGCUAUCUGUAGUACUUCCUUGUUGUCACAGUGUAACUCAACAUGCAUUUCAAUUUUAGUUCCAAGUUCCCUGAACAAUCCAAUCACCCAAACUAAUUCUGACAUAGUAGAAGCCAUGCUUCUUUACUCAGACUCUGCUGAACUCCUUGACACAGUAUUUUUUUCUUUGAUUUUCAAGAAAUAAGUGAAUCACCAUUCUUUACUAUGAAUCCUGUGACUGACUUUCUAGUAUUUGAACAUGAUGCCCAGUCCGCAUCACAAUAUGUAGUUAUUUUGUUACUCUUCUUGCUACUCAUCAAUACUCCCAUUCCUGGUUCCCUUUUAAUAUACCUUACAAUUCUUAAUGAUGCCUCCCAAUGAGACCUUUUAGGAUAUUGCAUGAAUUGGCUAAGUGUCUGCACAGCAAAAGCAAUAUCAAGUCUGGUUAAUGUCAGGUACAAUAACUUACAAAUCAGCCUUUGGUACUGCUCUCUAUCUUCAAACAGCUCAUCAGUGUUUUCCCCUGCAACAUCAUUUGAUUCUUUGCUGGUGAAUUUCUGAUUGUUGUCAAGAGGUGUGUUUACUGUUUUGGAGGCACUCAGUCCCACAUCUGAGAUGAGUUCUAAAGAAUAUUUUCUCUGGUUCAUCAAGAUUCUUUGUUGUGACCUACAAAAUUCAAUCCCCAAGAAAUACUUUAGCUCACCAAGGUCUUUUACUUUGAAAGCUUCCUGCAAAUCCCCUUUUGUAGCAAGAAUUUGUGCUAAGUUAUUUCCUGUCACUAACAUAUCAUCCACAUACACUAGGAUGAUCACUAUGUUGCUUCUCUGUUUCUUUGUGAAAAAGGAAUAGUCCAUGUUACUUUGCACAAAAUCUUGCUUGGUCAGUGCUUCACAUUCCACUGUCUUCUAUCUUGCUUGAGUCCAUACAAGGAUUUGACAAGCUUACAAACUGCUCCUUUAUUCUCCCCUAGCUUGCAAAACCUUUUGGGAGCUGCAUGUAAACCUCUUCAUAGAGGUCGCCUUGUAAAAAGGCAUUGUAAACAUCCAUUUGACGGAGAUACCAAUCUUGAGCAGUUGCCAUAGAAAUCACUGCUCUAACAAUCACUAUUUCCACCAUUGGUGAGAAGGUUUCUUGAUAGUCAACUCCCUCAUGCUGAUUGUACCCUUUAGCUAUGAGCCUUGCUUUAAAUCUCUCUAUAGUACCAUUGGCUUGAUAUUUAACCUUGAAGACCCAUUUGCAGCCUAUAGGAGACUUCCCUGGUGGCAGUUGAACAAUUUUCCAUAUUUUGUUCUCUUCAAGGGCCUGUAUCUCUGCCUUCAUUGCUUCCAUCCAACGUGGGUCCUGUGAAGUUUCUGAGAAAGUUCUUGGUUCAAUGAUUGAUGUAAAAUCUUCUAGGUAGUGUUGAUAGUGUGGCUUUAGCUUAUCAUAACUAAUAUAGUUCUGCAUAACAUAUGGGAUAUCGGGUCUAGUGUUGUUGUAGCUGUAAUGUAGUCACUCAUCAUGCAUGAUUCAUUUUAUCUCUAUCUGAUCUUCUCAAAGGCUCCAUAUCUGGAACAACAGGUUGUGCAGAGGAAGGCAAUAUGGGCUCCUGAGGUGCAUGAGACUCAUGGUUGAGUUGGUUCUCAUAACCAAUGUCCUGCACAUUUGGAGUAGGCAGUUAAUUCAGAUGGUCCUCAUGGCCAAUGUCAAUAUCCUGUACAUAUGGAGUACUAGGUUGAUCUAUCACUUUCACAUCCUCAAGAGGAGAAGAUGCGUCAUCUGGUUCUGUUAUAGAAGGAGUUUCUACACCAGGAAAUGCAUCAUUAUAAGAGUCAUCUGGUUCCAAAAACAGAUGGUAUUGUGAUUGCCUCCUAUUUUUGAAAGGAAAGACUGUUUCCCUGAAGAUAACAUCCCUAUUCACAAAGAACUUCUGAUUAUUCAAAUCAAGUAACACAUAGCCUUUUAUCACUUCUGAACACCCCAUUAGAACAACUGCUAUAGCUUUUGUAUCAAACUUAUCAUGGCUGUUCAGUUUCUUGGCAUAGCAAAGACAUUCAAAUGUCCUUAAAUGAUACAAGUUGGCUUUGUGUUUAUGGAAUAUUUCAUAUGGACUUUUACCCCUCAGAACCACUGAUGGUAGUCUAUUAAUGAUGUAGACUGCAGUGAGAACAUAGUGCCCCAAGUACCUCGAAGGAAUUCCUCCUUGAAAUCUCAAGGCUCUUGCUACUUCUAAUAUAUGUCUAUGCUUCCUCUCAGCUAUUCCAUUCUGCCGAGGAGUAUAGACACAAGUCUUCUAAUGCACAAUUCCAUAUUGCUGUAAGAGAUCACUACACCCAUUGCUUAAAAAUUCUCCUCCAUUAACUGAUCUAAUUGCACUGAUUGUUCUGUUAAACUGAUUCAAUAACAGUUUAAUGAAGUUUCUUAGCACAACCACCACAUCAUUUUUCAGCUUUAAUAAGUACAGACAAGUCAUUCUAGAGUGAUCAUCUACCAUAGUAAGAAAGAGUUUAUUUCCAUCAAAGGUUUGUACAUUAUAAGGCCCCCAUACAUCAAUGUGCAACAAGUUGAAAACUUCACAAGCUCUACUAGUACUGUCUGGGAAAGGCAAUCUAGUGUGUCUAGAUAAUGGGCACACCACAUUUUUUCAACUGACUUCUACAAUUAUUCUGAGAAAAAUGAAAAAUUUGACUCAAUGGCUUCAAAGAGGCAUGGCCUAAUCUAUUAUGCCAAAUUUCAACAUCUUGUUUCUCCUUGCUUGCAACCAAGCUAACCAACUGAUUUGCACUGUCUUUAGUAGGAGCUUAUGUAAGCAGAUAUAGUCCUC
rnacentral:lncRNA from 1 species